rnacentral:rRNA from 1 species
ACUCGUACCUUUUGCAUCAUGAUUUAGCCAGGUGACUAUUUAAGCAAAGAGUCCUUUAGUUUAAACCCCCGAAACCAAGUGAGCUACCCCGAGACAGCCUAUAUGGGCCAACCCGUCUCUGUGGCAAAAGAGUGGGAAGAGCUCUGGGUAGAGGUGACAGAUCUACCGAACUUGGUGAUAGCUGGUUGCCUGAGAAAUGAAUAAAAGUUCAGCCUCGUUUUCCUUUAAUUAAACAUAAAUUAAAUAGAUUAAAUAACUAAAAAAAGAGAAAAAUACGAGAGUUAGUUAAAAGGGGUACAGCCCCUUUAACCAAGGAUACAACCUUGCCCAGGAGGAUAAGGAUCAUAUUUUACAAAACUAGUCGUUUUAGUGGGCCUAAAAGCAGCCAUCUAAGCAGAAAGCGUUAAAGCUCAAACGACCAAACAUUAAUUAUACUGAUAAACAAUCCUAUUCCCCUAAAACUACUAGGCCGUCCCAUGCUAACAUGGGAGAGACCAUGCUAAAAUGAGUAACAAGAAGACACACUCUUCUCCAAGCACAAGUGUAAACCAGAUCGGAUAAACCACUGGCAAUUAACGAACCCAAAAAAAGAGGGUAAUGUGAAUAACAAAAAAUACAAGAAAAAUCCACAAAUAAUAAUCGUUAAACCCACACUGGAGUGCUAUCACGGAAAGACUAAAAGAAAAGGAAGGAACUCGGCAAACACAAGCCUCGCCUGUUUACCAAAAACAUCGCCUCCUGCAAAUCCCCAAGUAUAGGAGGUCCAGCCUGCC